rnacentral:rRNA from 1 species
UACGUAGGGGGCAAGCGUUGUCCGGAAUCAUUGGGCGUAAAGCGCGUGUAGGCGGUUCGGUAAGUCUGCUGUGAAAGUCCAGGGCUCAACCCUGGGAUGCCGGUGGAUACUGUCGGACUAGAGUACGGAAGAGGUGAGUGGAAUUCCCAGUGUAGAGGUGAAAUUCGUAGAUAUUGGGAAGAACACCGGUGGCGAAGGCGGCUCGCUGGCUCGUAACUGACGCUCAUGCACGACAGCGUGGGGAUCAAACAGG